rnacentral:rRNA from 1 species
UACAGAGGGUGCGAGCGUUGUCCGGAAUACUGGGCGUAAAGCGUGCGCAGGCGGCUUUGCAAGACAGAUGUGAAAUCCCCGGGCUUAACCUGGGAACUGCAUCUGUGACUGCAUCGCUGGAGUGCGGCAGAGGGGAUGGAAUUCCGCGUGUAGCAGUGAAAUGCGUAGAUAUGCGGAGGAACACCGAUGGCGAAGGCAAUCCCCUGGGCCUGCACUGACGCUCAUGCACGAAAGCGUGGGAGCA